rnacentral:rRNA from 1 species
GAUGAACGCUGGCGGCGUGCCUAAUACAUGCAAGUCGAGCGAACGGACGAGAAGCUUGCUUCUCUGAUGUUAGCGGCGGACGGAUGAGUAACACGUGGAUAACCUACCUAUAAGACUGGGAUAACUUCGGGAAACCGGAGCUAAUACCGGAUAAUAUUUUGAACCGCAUGGUUCAAAAGUGAAAGUCGGUCUUGCUGUCACUUAUAGAUGGAUCCGCGCUGCAUUAGCUAGUUGGUAAGGUAACGGCUUACCAAGGCAACGAUGCAUAGCCGACCUGAGAGGGUGAUCGGCCACACUGGAACUGAGACACGGUCCAGACUCCUACGGGAGGCAGCAGUAGGGAAUCUUCCGCAAUGGGCGAAAGCCUGACGGAGCAACGCCGCGUGAGUGAUGAAGGUCUUCGGAUCGUAAAACUCUGUUAUUAGGGAAGAACAUAUGUGUAAGUAACUGUGCACAUCUUGACGGUACCUAAUCAGAAAGCCACGGCUAACUACGUG